UACGUAGGGGGCAAGCGUUGUCCGGAUUUAUUGGGCGUAAAGAGCGUGUAGGCGGCUUUACAGGUCCGUUGUGAAAACUCGAGGCUCAACCUCGAGACGCCGGUGGAAACCGUAAAGCUAGAGUCCGGAAGAGGAGAGUGGAAUUCCUGGUGUAGCGGUGAAAUGCGCAGAUAUCAGGAAGAACACCCGUGGCGAAGGCGGCUCUCUGGGACGGUACUGACGCUGAGACGCGAAAGCGUGGGGGAGCGUACAGG
rnacentral:rRNA from 1 species